rnacentral:SRP_RNA from 2 species
GCCAGGUGUGGUGUCACACCUGUAAUCCCAGCUACUUGGGAGGCUGAGGCAGGAGACUUGCUUGAACCCGGGAGACAGAGGUUGCAGUGAGCCGAGAUCACGCCACUGCACUCCAGCCUGGGUAACAGAGCAAGACCUUGUCUCAA